rnacentral:tRNA from 1 species
GCAGGUGGCAUAGAGGUCAGAGUUGCCAUUUUAUAAUUGGAGGCCCAGGGUUCAAAUCCCUGCUCCUGCU